GACGAACGCUGGCGGCGUGCUUAACACAUGCCAGUCGAACGGAAAGGCCCUGCUUUUGUGGGGUGCUCGAGUGGCGAACGGGUGAGUAACACGUGAGUAACCUGCCCUUGACUUUGGGAUAACUUCAGGAAACUGGGGCUAAUACCGGAUAGGAGCUCCUGCUGCAUGGUGGGGGUUGGAAAGUUUCGGCGGUUGGGGAUGGACUCGCGGCUUAUCAGCUUGUUGGUGGGGUAGUGGCUUACCAAGGCUUUGACGGGUAGCCGGCCUGAGAGGGUGACCGGCGACAUUGGGACUGAGAUACGGCCCAGACUCCUACGGGAGGCAGCAGGGGGGAAUAUUGCACAAUGGGCGGAAGCCUGAUGCAGCAACGCCGCGUGCGGGAUGACGGCCUUCGGGUUGUAAACCGCUUUCGCCUGUGACGAAGCGUGAGUGACGGUAAUGGGUAAAGAAGCACCGGCUAACUACGUG
rnacentral:rRNA from 1 species